rnacentral:rRNA from 1 species
UACGUAGGGCGCAAGCGUUGUCCGGAAUUAUUGGGCGUAAAGAGCUCGUAGGCGGUCUGUCGCGUCUGUUGUGAAAAACUCGAGGCUCAACCUCGGGCUUGCAGUGGAUACGGGGCAGACUAGAGUGCGGUAGGGGGAGACUGGAAUUCCUGGUGUAGCGGUGGAAUGCGCAGAUAUCAGGAGGAACACCGAUGGCGAAGGCAGGUCUCUGGGCCGCAACUGACGCUGAGGAGCGAA